AAUAGCCUGCAAAAGCAGAGAGGCCCAAAAAUGAAAAUUAAGAAAUAGUCAAUAACGGCCAAUCAGAUGGAGCGCAGUUCCCAAAUCGUACGGGAAUUCUGAAGGAAUCAUGCGCGUGUAAUGGGUGGGACAUGCAUAUGCUUGAUAUAAUAAUAUAAUGUCACGAGUCCCAUAGUUAACCGACUUUCCAAAUAGUAAAGGAGUAGUUGAACCGACACUCGCAGCACAUGAGAGGCCAUGGAAUCAUCUGCUAGUUUAACACGUAGGCGUAUCCACAGUAGAUUUCUUUUCUUUUUGCACAGAGGAAAAAGAAAGACAAAAAAAUUUAGAUAUAACGACGUCGUUUCUAAAAUCAUAAGACUGGAGCAAUACCGGCGCAUGGUUAUUACUCUCCUUUUUGUUUGCAUUUCGCGAGAAAAGGAUCGUUUUUUUUUUUUUUGGGAAGUAACUCCUCUUUUGUUUGUGUGAGAGGAAGCGAUUUUUUAUUUUAAUUACAUUAUACCAGGUCACAGUGGCGCGAGAAAAGCGAGUUUGAUCAGAAGUGUUUACUUACAGUGGAGUCAAGGAGGCGCGUGGAGACGAACGAGCAGACGAGGAGGAAGAUGAGGAAGACGAAGAUGGAUAAUCUUGCAGAUUUUGCUCAGACAGGUGUCCCUCAGCUUUAGCUGAUACGGAGAUCUUCAGGCAUAAGUAGCCGGAUCACAUGAUUGUUUCUGAAUGAUUUGGCAAGUCGUCUCUCUCUCAUGUGAUUAAGCAUAUGGAUGGAGAUCGAAAAGACGCAAAUUAAAAAGAAAAAAAAAAAAAGAAACAGAGUGCAAUUUUGCAUAUAGCUAUUGAAGUCGUGUGAGGCUUAGACAAGAAAAGUAAAAUUGGAUAAGAUGUGAAUUGUGGAGGAAAGAGGAUGCGGGAGAGUGAGAUCCAAAUUACAGAAAAUGAUACGUCAGGAAAGUGGUGCUAACUCAAUUAUUAUUAUUAUUAUUUGAAUAAUAUAUAAAUUUCACGUAA